AGUUGCCAGCAUUCGGUUGGGCACUCUAGAGGGACUGCCGGCGACAAGUCGGAGGGAGUGGGGAUGACAUCAAAUCAUCAUGCCCCUUAUGACCUGGGCUACACACGUGCUACAAUGGGCGGUACAAAGGGUCGCGAACCCGCGAGGGGGAGCCAAUCCCAAAAAGCCGCUCUCAGUUCGGAUUGCAGGCUGCAACUCGCCUGCAUGAAGCCGGAAUCGCUAGUAAUCGCGGAUCAGCAUGCCGCGGUGAAUACGUUCCCGGGCCUU
rnacentral:rRNA from 1 species